rnacentral:lncRNA from 1 species
CCCUGAAAAACACAUCGUGUCUAUUUCAUAUAAAAAUAACCUCCGUACAUUGGCCGUAGCUGGCCCUUUUUAUAAGCAACACACAAAUAACAAAACUGACCCAACAACUCUAGAUUGAAACGGACUCUCUCUCUCCUAUUUAAACUAAUCAAAAAUUUAACUAAUAAAGUAUCCGGCAGCCUUGAUCACCUAGCACCGUAUAACAAACUAGGACUACAUGGUUGGUACAACUUCUCCUGGGGAAGGUGGACCCCACCCGCAUCCUCUCAAGCUUAGCAUGUCUCUAAUUCUGCUUGUACACCUCUUGCGUGGGAGCGGAAUAAAUAGAAACAUAUCUUUUUUUUAUCUUGUUGACCGAUGCAAACAAAUCAGAUCUUACAUGAUUCCUUCCAUUAGCAUAGGUUGCCUUUUCUUCAAAAGAAUUAAUGCACGUUUGUAUUUCCUUGCCAAACCGAGCUUGGUAAAUAUUGCAUGCAUAUCUCCUGUCUUGACUUAGUAAUUUACCUCGCAUGCAAUUACCCCCCUUCAAUACAUGCACGUCCAGGAACUUCUUUUUCUUCUCGUUGGGAUCAAAUGAAUCAAUGUCUUGUUUUCUUGUAACAGAAAAUAGUUCCUUUAACCCACUGACAUGCGGUACUAUUUUGCGAUCAUCAAAAACACUAACAUUAGUCGCAGACAUAUCAUCCUCUCCUCCUUGAAAUGAAACCGUCCUCGGUUUCGAAUCAAUCUCUUCAACAAUAUUUGUAUUUGCAGUUUUUACGAUGCAUGAAAAAAAUUCAGCAACUUGGGCCUUCUUCUUUUCUUCUUCUUCCUACUCUUUUAUCCUCUCAAGAUGUUCUUUCCUCCAAGAAAUAAAACGCUCCUCACCCAUUGGCACGAGGCUGCACUUCUUACCCCUCUGGACGGUAUAUCUAUGUGUAUUGCAAUCGUAUGCGACAUCAUGCUCUCUGUACCACGGCUCGCCCAAUAACAAGUGGCAUGAAAUCAUCGGUGCUGGAAUCACGUCGCACAAAACCUCACAAAAAUAAUUUCCAACAAAAACGGUACCUUGGUUUGUUGCAUGACAGUGAGCUCUUCAUGACCCCAACGGAAACGGUAUGGUUGUGGACGUGGUGUCAUUGGUAGAUUCAGCUUCUCCACCAUCUCGAUGCUUGCGGCGUUGAUCAAAUUCAUGUGAUCGAUCGUCAUGGCACAUGAUCUCUCUCUCACCACCACACGGGUGUGAAAUAGUCCAGUCCAACGGCCAUCCUCCUCCAACUGAAAACCAUAGCUUAACUUACUGAAUAACGAUGCGCUCGCCAUCUUCUUCAUAGUGUCGUGAACAACCUUGCUCUGAAUACCACCUGAUGUGAACCGAACCCCGUGGCGAGAUCCGAUCCGUUGUUGUGGCCCGACCUUUCACGACACUCCACCACCAAUAGCAGCAACCUCUCGCCCGCACACGCGAUGUACACGAAGUAGAGGGUUUAAACCUUGUGGCCCAGCACGAGAAAACCAAUCUCGACGAAGGUACUCACGCGCAAAAUAAUUUUCACGAAGAGAAAUCGUAAAACAGAGAUUUUCUAAAGAUCCCUCCAAAACUUGAUACGGGUGUGUCUACCCUGAAAAACACAUCGUGUCUAUUUCAUAUAAAAAUAACCUCCGUACAUUGGCCGUAGUGGCCCUUUUUAUAAGCAACACACAAAUAACAAAACCGACCCAACAACUCUAGAUUGAAACGGACUCUCUCUCUCUCCUAUUUAAACUAAUCAAAGAUUUAACUAAUAAAGUAUCCGGCAGCCUUGAUCACCUAGCACCGUAUAACAAACUAGGACUACAUGGUUGGUACGACUUCUCC